CCCACUAAGUUUAAGCAUAUUAAUAAGUGAAGGAAAGGAAACUUACCAGGAUUCCCAAAAUAACAAUGAACGAACCGAGAAAAGCCUAGCUUGAGAAUCAGGCACCCGAAUUGUACUCUGAAAAAGUGUCUUUAGCAGCAGACCGGGCCUAAGUCCCUUUGAAAGGGGCAUCGAAGAGAGUGAGAGCCCCAUUAUGCUCGGAGACUGUCGCACUAUAAGGCAUUGUCUACUAGUUGGGUUGUUUGGGAAUACAGCCUUAAUCGGGCGGUAAAUUUCAUCCAAGGCUAAAUACGGGUGAGAGACCGAUAGCGAACAAGUACUGCAAGGGAAAUAUGAAAAGGAAUUUUGAAAAGGGAGUCAAAGAGUGCUUGAAAUGCACCCCAUUCGAGUGUGGAACAGCAAGAGUCAGUCAACCAAUCGGCUCGAGGUGUGGACCGACGAAGGUUGUGGUGGUGGCCCAAUCCCAAGCUUUGAUACGCCCGUAAAGAUGUCGUCGUCUAGAUUGUGGGAUCUGACAUGUUCCGUCUCAAUGUGCUUCGGCAUCUGCGUGCUCCAGACAUUGGCUUAUGGGCUCCCCAUUCAGCCUGUCUUGAAGCAUAGAUCGAGGAGUUUGACAUGUGUGCAAGUCAAUGGGCUAGAAAACCUGUAAGAUACAAGAAAGCUGAUUGGCGAGAUCCCUCGUAGUUGCACCGCCAACCGACCUUGGUCUUCUGAGAAGGGUUCGACUGAGAGCAUGGCUAUCGGGACCCAAAAGAUGGUGAACUAUGCUUGUGUGGGGUGAAGCCAGAGGAAACUCUGGUGGAGGCCUGUAGCGAUACAGACAUGUAAAUCAUUCAUCUGACUUGGUUAUAGGGGUGAAAGACUAAUCGAAUCAUCUAGUAGCUAGUUCUCUUCGAAGUUUCCCUCAGGAUAGUUGGAGCCCUUAGCAAGUUCUAUCGGAUAAAGCCAAUGAUUCGAGGAAUCGGGGGCACAAUGCCUCUGACCUCUUCUCAAACUUUAAAUAGGUAGGACGGCGCGACUGCUUCAUUGAGCCGCGUCACGAAAUUGAGAGCUCUAAGUAGGCAACUUUUUCCAAGUAGAAUUGACGAUACGGGAUGAAUCGAAAGUCGAGUUAUGGUGCCCAACUACGCGCUAACCUAGAACCCACAAAGGGUAUUGGUCGAUUAAGAAGUAGGACAAUAGUCAUGGAAGUCGAAAUUUGCUAAAGAGUGUGUAACAACUCACCUGCUGAAUCAAUUAGCCCCGAAAAUGGAUGGCACUUAAGUGCGUGACCUAUACCCAGCUGUUGAGGCAAGGGCCAGGCACUAAUGAAUGGGAGGGCACGGCGGUCGUUGCAAAACCCGAGGCGUGAGCCCGGGCGGAGCGAUCGUCUGUGCAGGUCAUGGUGGUAGUAGCAAAUAUUCAAAUGAGAACUUUGAAGGCCAAAGAGGGGAAAGGCUUCAUUUGAACGACACUUGCAAUGGGUUAGUCGAUGCUAAAAGACGGGGGAAGCUCGUUCGGUAGCGCGUCCAGUGGGAGCUUCGAAAGGGAAUCGGGUUAAAAUUCUUAAACUGGGACGCGAUGGCUGAUGAAAAUGUUAGGGAGUCUGGAGACAUCGGCAAGGGCCUCGGGAAGAGUUAUCCUUUCUAUUUAAUAGACUGCCCAUCCUAGAAACGGCUUAGCGAGAGGUAGGGUCUAGCGGCUGAAAGAGUACUGCACGUCGUGUGGUCUUCGGUGUGCCCCUCGUGGCCCUUGAAAAUCUAAAGGACCGGGUGCCGUCAGCGCCCAGUCGUACUCAUAACCGCAUCAGGUCUCUACGGUGAACAACCUCUAAUC
rfam:Gossypium hirsutum cultivar TM-1 chromosome 4, whole genome shotgun sequence